rnacentral:rRNA from 1 species
UGCGGAGGAAAAGAAACUAACUAGGAUUCCCUUAGUAACGGCGAGUGAACCGGGAUGAGCUCAAAUUUAAAAUCUGGCGUCUUUCAGGCGUCCGAGUUGUAAUCUAUAGAGGCGUUUUCCGCGCCGGACCGCGUCCAAGUCUCUUGGAAUAGAGUAUCAAAGAGGGUGACAAUCCCGUACUUGACGCGACAACCGGUGCUCUGUGAUACGUUCUCAAUGAGUCGAGUUGUUUGGGAAUGCAGCUCUAAAUGGGUGGUAAAUUCCAUCUAAGGCUAAAUAUUGGCGAGAGACCGAUAGCGAACAAGUACCGUGAGGGAAAGAUGAAAAGCACUUUGGAAAGAGAGUUAAACAGCACGUGAAAUUGUUAAAAGGGAAACGAUUGAAGUCAGUCGUGUGAAAGGUAUUCAGCCGUCUCUGGCGGUGUAUUUGCCUUUCACGGGUCAACAUCAGUUUGAUCCGGUAGAAAAAGGCGGGAGGAAGGUGGCACCCUCGGGUGUGUUAUAGCCUCCUGUCAUAUGUGCCGGACCAGACUGAGGAACGCAGCUUGCCGCAAGGCCGGGGUUCGCCCACGUACAAGCUUAGGAUGUUGACAUAAUGGCUUUAAACGACCCG